CAUGCUGUAAACUAUGGAUACUAGCUGUUAGAGGUAUCGACCCCUUUAGUAGCGUAGCUAACGCGUUAAGUAUCCCGCCUGUGGAGUACGGUCGCAAGACUAAAACAUAAAGGAAUUGAC
rnacentral:rRNA from 1 species